rnacentral:lncRNA from 1 species
GCACUUUAUCUCUGAGACACUUAACUACAUGCUUACCUUAAAUGCAAAGCAGGUGUGUAAGUGCUUUGCUGGAUCAGGGCCAGCUCUGUACAAACCUGACCUCAGAGAGUUAGGAUCCCCUGCUCCUCCUGGUGUGAAGAUGACCUUGCUUACAUCAGAGUCAUGUGGUUGCACUUCAGAAACAGACAGCAUUCAGUCACAGGUACCUGGAAAUGUAUUUUAUCAUCUGUAAUGCAUUCCACCUGACUCAUAUUCAUAACCCACUCCAAGGUACAGGAACGGAGAGCAUGGCCACGGGUUACUAAACAC